AUGGGCUAGGGGUGAACGAGGUCGUCAUCGUGAUGGGUCCAAGUCAAUGGCAAAUCAGAGGCCAACAAAAACCCUGUUUGUGAUCAAUUUUGACCCGAUUCGCACAAGAGUUCGUGAUAUUGAAAGACAUUUUGAACCUUAUGGGAAGGUGCUCAAUGUUCGCAUUAGAAGGAAUUUUGCAUUUGUACAAUUUGAGACGCAG
rnacentral:misc_RNA from 1 species